CUUGAGUGCAGAAGAGGAGAGUGGAAUUCCACGUGUAGCGGUGAAAUGCGUAGAGAUGUGGAGGAACACCAGUGGCGAAGGCGACUCUCUGGUCUGUAACUGACGCUGAGGAGCGAAAGCGUGGGGAGCGAACAGGAUUAGAUACCCUGGUAGUCCACGCCGUAAACGAUGAGUGCUAAGUGUUAGGGGGUUUCCGCCCCUUAGUGCUGCAGCUAACGCAUUAAGCACUCCGCCUGGGGAGUACGGUCGCAAGACUGAAACUCAAAGGAAUUGACGGGGGCCCGCACAAGCGGUGGAGCAUGUGGUUUAAUUUGAAGCAACGCGAAGAACCUUACCAGGUCUUGACAUCCUCUGACAAUCCUAGAGAUAGGACGUCCCCUUCGGGGGCAGAGUGACAGGUGGUGCAUGGUUGUCGUCAGCUCGUGUCGUGAGAUGUUGGGUUAAGUCCCGCAACGAGCGCAACCCUUGAUCUUAGUUGCCAGCAUUCAGUUGGGCACUCUAAGGUGACUGCCGGUGACAAACCGGAGGAAGGUGGGGAUGACGUCAAAUCAUCAUGCCCCUUAUGACCUGGGCUACACACGUGCUACAAUGGACAGAACAAAGGGCAGCGAAACCGCGAGGUUAAGCCAAUCCCACAAAUCUGUUCUCAGUUCGGAUCGCAGUCUGCAACUCGACUGCGUGAAGCUGGAAUCGCUAGUAAUCGCGGAUCAGCAUGCCGCGGUGAAUACGUUCCCGGGCCUUGUACACACCGCCCGUCACACCACGAGAGUUUGUAACACCCGAAGUCGGUGAGGUAACCUUUUAGGAGCCAGCCGCCGAA
rnacentral:rRNA from 1 species